rnacentral:rRNA from 1 species
CAGGAAGAAGCCUGCUUCUUUGCUGACGAGUGGCGGACGGGUGAGUAAUGUCUGGGAAACUGCCUGAUGGAGGGGGAUAACUACUGGAAACGGUAGCUAAUACCGCAUAACGUCGCAAGACCAAAGAGGGGGACCUUCGGGCCUCUUGCCAUCGGAUGUGCCCAGAUGGGAUUAGCUAGUAGGUGGGGUAACGGCUCACCUAGGCGACGAUCCCUAGCUGGUCUGAGAGGAUGACCAGCCACACUGGAACUGAGACACGGUCCAGACUCCUACGGGAGGCAGCAGUGGGGAAUAUUGCACAAUGGGCGCAAGCCUGAUGCAGCCAUGCCGCGUGUAUGAAGAAGGCCUUCGGGUUGUAAAGUACUUUCAGCGGGGAGGAAGGGAGUAAAGUUAAUACCUUUGCUCAUUGACGUUACCCGCAGAAGAAGCACCGGCUAACUCCGUGCCAGCAGCCGCGGUAAUACGGAGGGUGCAAGCGUUAAUCGGAAUUACUGGGCGUAAAGCGCACGCAGGCGGUUUGUUAAGUCAGAUGUGAAAUCCCCGGGCUCAACCUGGGAACUGCAUCUGAUACUGGCAAGCUUGAGUCUCGUAGAGGGGGGUAGAAUUCCAGGUGUAGCGGUGAAAUGCGUAGAGAUCUGGAGGAAUGCCGGUGGCGAAGGCGGCCCCCUGGACGAAGACUGACGCUCAGGUGCGAAAGCGUGGGGAGCAAACAGG